UGAGGAAUAUUGGUCAAUGGACGCAAGUCUGAACCAGCCAAGUAGCGUGCAGGAUGACGGCCCUAUGGGUUGUAAACUGCUUUUAUAUGGGGAUAAAGUGGGGAACGUGUUCCCUUUUGCAGGUACCAUAUGAAUAAGGACCGGCUAAUUCCGUGCCAGCAGCCGCGGUAAUACGGAAGGUUCGGGCGUUAUCCGGAUUUAUUGGGUUUAAAGGGAGCGUAGGCCGUUUGGUAAGCGUGUUGUGAAAUGUAGGAGCUCAACUUCUAGAUUGCAGCGCGAAAUGUCAGACUUGAGUGCGCACAACGUAGGCGGAAUUCAUGGUGUAGCGGUGAAAUGCUUAGAUAUCAUGAAGAACUCCGAUUGCGAAGGCAGCUUACGGGAGCGCAACUGACGCUGAAGCUCGAAGGUGAGGGUAUCGAACAGG
rnacentral:rRNA from 1 species